rnacentral:sRNA from 1 species
UGGUCUGUUUAUGGAAAGUUUUCACCAUCCCAUAUCAUCAGUGUGGGAACUGCCCCAGAAGAAGCACUUCAAGAGUUGGGAGGGAAGUUCAGUUUCCAUGACCCAUUCAGUCCUUGGCCCCC